CGCAUGGGGAUGUGCGUGCCUUUUUUUUGGCAUGCAUGAAUGAGAAGGGAGGGCACCAAAAAGUGGGCACCCCUCUUCCUUGGUAUUCUCUCUCCUCUGGAUAAGGCUUUAUCCUUAUUAAGUUGUUGAAUUUAAUUUUGAAUUUGAUUCAAAGUUAGGAUAAAUCUUAUUUGGGUGGUUAGAGAUUGUUAGACACCUCUAUUUAGUAGGCGUGGAAG
rnacentral:lncRNA from 1 species